rnacentral:rRNA from 1 species
UACAGAGGGGGCAAGCGUUGUUCGGAAUUACUGGGCGUAAAGGGCGCGUAGGCGGCCUGCUAAGUCGGACGUGAAAUCCCUGGGCUCAACCCAGGAACUGCGUCCGAUACUGGUUGGCUUGAAUCCGGGAGAGGGAUGCGGAAUUCCAGGUGUAGCGGUGAAAUGCGUAGAUAUCUGGAGGAACACCGGUGGCGAAGGCGGCAUCCUGGACCGGCAUUGACGCUGAGGCGCGAAAGCCAGGGGAGCAAACGGG